AUUGAACGCUGGCGGCAGGCUUAACACAUGCAAGUCGAGCGGGGGAAGAUAGCUUGCUACCGGACCUAGCGGCGGACGGGUGAGUAAUGCUUAGGAAUCUGCCUAUUAGUGGGGGACAACAUCUCGAAAGGGAUGCUAAUACCGCAUACGUCCUACGGGAGAAAGCAGGGGAUCUUCGGACCUUGCGCUAAUAGAUGAGCCUAAGUCGGAUUAGCUAGUUGGUGGGGUAAAGGCCUACCAAGGCGACGAACUGUAGCGGGUUUGAGAGGAUGGUCCCCCAAACCGGGACUGAGACACGGCCCAGACUCCUACGGGAGGCAGCAGUGGGGACUAUUGGACAAGUGGGGGAACACUGAUCCAGCCAUGCCGCGUGUGUGAAGAAGGCCUUAUGGUUGUAAAGCACUUUAAGCGAGGAGGAGGCUACUUUAGUUAAUACCUAGAGAUAGUGGACGUUACUCGCAGAAUAAGCACCGGCUAACUCUGUGCCAGCCGCCGCCGUAA
rnacentral:rRNA from 1 species